rnacentral:rRNA from 1 species
UACGUAGGUGGCAAGCGUUGUCCGGAUUUACUGGGCGUAAAGAGCGCGCAGGCGGUCGAUUUAGUCGCGUGUGAAAGCCCCCGGCUCAACUGGGGAGGGUCACGCGAUACUGAUCACUCGAAGGCAGGAGAGGGUAGUGGAAUUCCCGGUGUAGUGGUGAAAUGCGUAGAUAUCGGGAGGAACACCAGUGGCGAAGGCGACUACCUGGCCUGUUCUUGACGCUGAGGCGCGAAAGCCAGGGGAGCAAACGGG